ACGAGUGGCGGACGGGUGAGUAACACGUAGGUAACCUGCCCAGAAGCGGGGGACAACAUUUGGAAACAGAUGCUAAUACCGCAUAACAGCGUUGUUCGCAUGAACAACGCUUAAAAGAUGGCUUCUCGCUAUCACUUCUGGAUGGACCUGCGGUGCAUUAGCUUGUUGGUGGGGUAACGGCCUACCAAGGCGAUGAUGCAUAGCCGAGUUGAGAGACUGAUCGGCCACAAUGGGACUGAGACACGGCCCAUACUCCUACGGGAGGCAGCAGUAGGGAAUCUUCCACAAUGGGCGCAAGCCUGAUGGAGCAACACCGCGUGAGUGAAGAAGGGUUUCGGCUCGUAAAGCUCUGUUGUUAAAGAAGAACACGUAUGAGAGUAACUGUUCAUACGUUGACGGUAUUUAACCAGAAAGUCACGGCUAACUACGUGCCAGCAGCCGCGGUAAUACGUAGGUGGCAAGCGUUAUCCGGAUUUAUUGGGCGUAAAGAGAGUGCAGGCGGUUUUCUAAGUCUGAUGUGAAAGCCUUCGGCUUAACCGGAGAAGUGCAUCGGAAACUGGAUAACUUGAGUGCAGAAGAGGGUAGUGGAACUCCAUGUGUAGCGGUGGAAUGCGUAGAUAUAUGGAAGAACACCAGUGGCGAAGGCGGCUACCUGGUCUGCAACUGACGCUGAGACUCGAAAGCAUGGGUAGCGAACAGGAUUAGAUACCCUGGUAGUCCAUGCCGUAAACGAUGAGUGCUAGGUGUUGGAGGGUUUCCGCCCUUCAGUGCCGGAGCUAACGCAUUAAGCACUCCGCCUGGGGAGUACGACCGCAAGGUUGAAACUCAAAGGAAUUGACGGGGGCCCGCACAAGCGGUGGAGCAUGUGGUUUAAUUCGAAGCUACGCGAAGAACCUUACCAGGUCUUGACAUCUUGCGCCAACCCUAGAGAUAGGGCGUUUCCUUCGGGAACGCAAUGACAGGUGGUGCAUGGUCGUCGUCAGCUCGUGUCGUGAGAUGUUGGGUUAAGUCCCGCAACGAGCGCAACCCUUGUUACUAGUUGCCAGCAUUAAGUUGGGCACUCUAGUGAGACUGCCGGUGACAAACCGGAGGAAGGUGGGGACGACGUCAGAUCAUCAUGCCCCUUAUGACCUGGGCUACACACGUGCUACAAUGGACGGUACAACGAGUCGCGAACUCGCGAGGGCAAGCAAAUCUCUUAAAACCGUUCUCAGUUCGGACUGCAGGCUGCAACUCGCCUGCACGAAGUCGGAAUCGCUAGUAAUCGCGGAUCAGCAUGCCGCGGUGAAUACGUUCCCGGGCCUUGUACACACCGCCCGUCACACCAUGAGAGUUUGUAACACCCAAAGUCGGUGGGGUAACCUUUUAGGAGCCAGCCGCCUAAGGUGGGACAGAUGAUUAGGGU
rnacentral:rRNA from 1 species